CGGCGUGCUUAACACAUGCAAGUCACGGGGGGUAGCAAUACCAACCGGCGAACGGGUGCGUAACACGUGAGUAACCUGCCGAUUUGUGGGGGAUAGCUGGCCUAACGGCCAGGUAAUACCGCAUACGCUCACCGGGGGACAUCCCUUGGUGAGGAAACCUCCGGGGCAAAUCGAGGGGCUCGCGGCCUAUCAGCUAGUUGGCGAGGUCACGGCUCACCAAGGCGACGACGGGUAGCUGGUCUGAGAGGAUGGCCAGCCACAUUGGGACUGAGAAACGGCCCAGACUCCUACGGGAGGCAGCAGUGGGGAAUCUUGCGCAAUGGACGAAAGUCUGACGCAGCGACGCCGCGUGGAGGAUGAAGGUCUUCGGAUUGUAAACUCCUGUUGCCCGGGACGAAAAGCCUCGACCUAACACGUUGAGGUCUGACGGUACCGGGUGAGGAAGCCCCGGCU
rnacentral:rRNA from 1 species